AUGACUGCCUUGCCUGGUUUACCAACUACUUCUCUGAUAGAGUUCAGUGUGUCAAAUCGGAGGGCCUGUUGUCCGGACCUCUGGCAGUCUGUAUGGGGGUGCCACAGGGUUCAAUUCUCUGCCGACUCUCUUCUCUGUAUACAGAGAAGAAGAGAUGUUGCUCUUGCUGCUGGUGAUUCUCUGAUCAACCUCUACGCAGAUGACACCAUUCUGUAUACUUCUGGCCCCUCUUUGGACACUGUGUUAACUAACCUCCAGAGGAGCUUCAAUGCCAGACAACUCUCCUUCCGUGGCCUCCAACUGCUCUUAAAUACAAGUAAAACUAAAUGCAUGCUAUUCAAUCGAUCACUGCCCGCAUCUGCUCGCCCGUCCAGCAUCACUACUCUGGACGGUUCUGACUUAGAAUAUGUGGACAACUACAAAUACCUGGGUGUCUGGUUAGACUGUAAACUCUCCUUCCAGACUCACAUUAAGCAUCUCCGAUCCAAAAUUAAAUCUAGAAUCGGCUUCCUAUAUCGCAACAAAGCAUCCUUCACUCAUGCUGCCAAACAUACCCUCAUAAAACUGACCAUCCUACCUAUCCUCGACUUCAGUGAUGUCAUCUAUAAAAUAGUCUCCAACACUCUACUCAACAAAUUGGAUGCAGUCUAUCACAGUGCCAUCCGUUUUGUCACCAAAGCCCCAUACACUACCCACCAUUGCGACGUGUACGCUCUUGUUGGUUGGCCCUCGCUUCAUACUCAUCGCCAAACCCACUGGCUCCAGGUCACCUACAAGUCUCUGUUAGGUAAAGCCCCGCCUUAUCUCAGCUCACUGGUCACCAUAGCAGCACCCACCCGUAUCACGCGCUCCAGCAGGUAUAUCUCACUGGUCACCCCCAAAGACAAUUCCUCCUUUGGUCGUCUUUCCUUCCAGUUCUCUGCUGCCAAUGACUGGAACGAACUGCAAAAAUCUCUGAAGCUGGAGACUCAUAUCUCCCUCACUAGCUUUAAGCACCAGCUGUCAGAGCAGCUCACAGAUCACUGCACCUGUACAUAG
rnacentral:lncRNA from 8 species